rnacentral:rRNA from 1 species
AGGGGCGGGGGGCCUAAUAAUGCAGUCGAACGCUUUUUCUUUCACCGGAGCUUGCUCCACCGAAAGAAAAAGAGUGGCGAACGGGUGAGUAACACGUGGGUAACCUGCCCAUCAGAAGGGGAUAACACUUGGAAACAGGUGCUAAUACCGUAUAACACUAUUUUCCGCAUGGAAGAAAGUUGAAAGGCGCUUUUGCGUCACUGAUGGAUGGACCCGCGGUGCAUUAGCUAGUUGGUGAGGUAACGGCUCACCAAGGCCACGAUGCAUAGCCGACCUGAGAGGGUGAUCGGCCACACUGGGACUGAGACACGGCCCAGACUCCUACGGGAGGCAGCAGUAGGGAAUCUUCGGCAAUGGACGAAAGUCUGACCGAGCAACGCCGCGUGAGUGAAGAAGGUUUUCGGAUCGUAAAACUCUGUUGUUAGAGAAGAACAAGGAUGAGAGUAUAACGUUCAUCCCUUGACGGUAUCUAACCAGAAAGCC